rnacentral:lncRNA from 1 species
UCGGACGAGUGGUUAUCAGGGUAAUCGUUCACGCUGAAACCUACCAUCCAAUAAAAGACAUAUAUAUUCUACUGUACAUAUACAAUGUAUUUUAUCUGCAACUAUUUCAGCAUGAGCAGAGUACCAUGGCCUCUGAACAUGGGUAUGUAAUGUCCGCUGCUUUGCGAAUCUUUUCAACAAGCAUAAUACUGUUUCCCGGAUGAUUUGUAGUACCAGUAUUUCAUAUCAUUCCAGCUUAGAGAAAUAAUGUUGGUUUACCGAGGCCAUAUUGGGCAUAUCAUGUGCAAAACCUUAGGUGUCAAUCUUUCAGGCUCACGGAGUUUCCCUUCUUAUCAUUCUGUCAUUCAUUGUUCCAUAAGACAGAGAGUUCUGACCUUCGCCUUCAACUCCCGUCACGACUCAGUCUGACUGCUGUCUUAGCUGACCAGACCAACAGUUGUGCCAUCCCACCUGGGAUAAGAAGAAAGCUCAGAAAUCUAAACUAGAGUUGCACCAAUACGUAAGCAAAAGAAAGAAAGGGGUUACCCACCUGUACAAGCGCAGAGAAUGUUGUCGCAACGUCGAUGAGUUAUCCAGUCUCUGUCCCUGUUUAUCAACUCUUGAUGAGAAUGUGUUGACGAUUUCACUUGCUCUCUCCGUACAAACCAACAUAUAGAGAAGCGGGUGGUUUCAAUCCUGCAAAAUGCACAUAGUUGUUUUAAUAUCGAUGGGUGCUAAGGAAGUUCGUAUACUUAUAACAGUUAGCACUUAGCAGUUCAGUCCUGCAACCAACCUGCUUUUCAGAAGCAGUAUUCCAUUCCAUCUUCCCAUGUUGAAAAUCCAUGGUGCUCACCCUCAGCUGUUGCUGCCAAAGAGAGCAUACUGUGAGAAGAAUUAUCCAUCUUUGCUUUCGAAGCCGAGUAGAUACUUAAAGUUCAGCAUACAGAUUGAAAUUAGCCAGAACAACGCAAACUAUUUAUUGGUUAACAAAGCUCAGUAUAUUGGAAGGUUC